CUCUCAUUCAGUGUCUGGGCUGGGGUGUGUGUGUGUGGGGGGUAUAUAGCUCGUGUGAGUGGUGUGUGUGGGUGUCUCUGGCACAUGUGUGUUCGUGUGUUUGCCAUGUUCCGUGCUGGUUGGCAUGAGUCUAGAAAACCUGUCACUCUGGGGUGGAUGAUCAUCCCUGUGGGGAGGUGGGAGUCACUCUGGGUGGACAGAUCACCCCGGGGGGAGGUGCGGGUCACUCUGGGUGGACAGAUCACCCCAGGGGGAGGUGCGGGUCACUCUGUGGUGGACAGAUCAUCCCUGGGGGGAGGUGGGAGUCACUCUGGGUGGACAGAUCACCCCAGGGGGAAGUGUGGGUCACUCUGGGUGGACAGAUCACCCCAGGGGGAAGUGCGGGUCACUCUGGGUGGACAGAUCACCCCAGGGGGAAGUGCGGGUCACUCUGGGUGGACAGAUCACCCCAGGGGGGGAGGUACAGGUCACUCUGGGUGGACAGAUCACCCCAGGGGGAAGUGCGGGUCACUCUGGGUGGACAGAUCACCCCAGGGGGAAGUGCGGGUCACUCUGGGUGGACAGAUCACCCCGGGGGGAGGUGCGGGUUUGCCUGCAAAUUCCUGUCGGAAGAGCUCCAGACAGCAGCACUCGCCACUGGGAAGGAGACCUCUGGAUCCGCCCUCUGCCAUCACGCCCAGCAGCCGCCCGUUUGCAGAGCUGUGGCUGGGGAGGUGCCACUGCCUUCCCCGCCUGCGCCUUUGCAAGGAGAGGGUGGCGGUUUAUUUCCGGGGCUGGCAGCGCGUAGGGGAGGUGGGCGGUGUGCCCGAAGCUGAGCCCCUGGCAUGCUUUGUGCAGUCAUAGCAUCCACAGCUGCAGUUCCAACCUGAGUCCUCUGGAGGGCGCACGUGAGCUCCCUGCCACAGGGGCUGGACCCAGGUGCACUUGGCCCGCCAGUCUCACUGCAGACCGGGGCCUGUGACGAUGCCGGCGGCGUCACCGGGGGCUUCUCGCCACACAGGGCGCUGUGCUCGGGACGGACACGGAGUGCCAUUCCUGGAGUACAGGUGGACUGACCGUGUGGUCAGGGCAGCCUGUAACUUGGGGUCACACACAAAGCCCUUGGAAUCAAAG
rnacentral:lncRNA from 1 species